UAAUACGGAGGGUGCAAGCGUUAAUCGGAAUUACUGGGCGUAAAGCGCGCGUAGGCGGUUUGGUCAGUCAGAUGUGAAAGCCCCGGGCUCAACCUGGGAACUGCAUUUGAUACUGCUGAACUAGAGUAUGGUAGAGGGAAGUGGAAUUCCGGGUGUAGCGGUGAAAUGCGUAGAUAUCCGGAGGAACACCAGUGGCGAAGGCGACUUCCUGGACCAAUACUGACGCUGAGGUGCGAAAGCGUGGGUAGCAAACAGGAUUAGAUACCCUGGUAGUCCACGCCGUAAACGAUGUCAACUAGCCGUUGGGGCCAUUUAAGGCUUUAGUGGCGCAGCUAACGCGAUAAGUUGACCGCCUGGGGAGUACGGUCGCAAGAUUA
rnacentral:rRNA from 1 species